AGAGUUUGAUCAUGGCUCAGGAUGAACGCUAGCGGCAGGCUUAAUACAUGCAAGUCGAGGGGCAGCGGGGGUAGCAAUACCUGCCGGCGACCGGCAAACGGGUGCGGAACACGUACGCAACCUUCCCAGAACAGGUGAAUAGCCCUCCGAAAGGAGGAUUAAUACACCGUAAGAUAUAGAGAUGGCAUCAUUUUUAUAUAAUAGGCAGCAAUGUCGGUUUUGGAUGGGCGUGCGGCUGAUUAGGUAGUUGGCGGGGUAACGGCCCACCAAGCCUCCGAUCAGUAACUGGUGUGAGAGCACGACCAGUCACACGGGCACUGAGACACGGGCCCGACUCCUACGGGAGGCAGCAGUAAGGAAUAUUGGUCAAUGGACGCAAGUCUGAACCAGCCAUGCCGCGUGAAGGAUGAAGGCCCUCUGGGUUGUAAACUUCUUUUAUCUGGGACGAAAAAAGGGAAUUCUUUCUCACUUGACGGUACCAGAGGAAUAAGCACCGGCUAACUCCGUGCCAGCAGCCGCGGUAAUACGGAGGGUGCAAGCGUUAUCCGGAUUUACUGGGUUUAAAGGGUGCGUAGGUGGGCAGGUAAGUCAGUGGUGAAAUCUUCAAGCUUAACUUGGAAACUGCCAUUGAUACUAUUUGUCUUGAAUAUCCUGGAGGUAAGCGGAAUAUGUCAUGUAGCGGUGAAAUGCUUAGAUAUGACAUAGAACACCCAUUGCGAAGGCAGCUUACUACGGGAUUAUUGACACUGAGGCACGAAAGCGUGGGGAUCAAACAGGAUUAGAUACCCUAGUAGUCC
rnacentral:rRNA from 1 species